UACUGGAAACGAUAGCUAAUACCGCAUAACGUCGCAAGACCAAAGUGGGGGACCUUCGGGCCUCACACCAUCGGAUGAACCCAGAUGGGAUUAGCUAGUAAGUGGGGUAAUGGCUCACCUAGGCGACGAUCCCUAGCUGGUCUGAGAGGAUGACCAGCCACACUGGAACUGAGACACGGUCCAGACUCCUACGGGAGGCAGCAGUGGGGAAUAUUGCACAAUGGGGGAAACCCUGAUGCAGCCAUGCCGCGUGUGUGAAGAAGGCCUUCGGGUUGUAAAGCACUUUCAGCGGGGAGGAAGGCGGUGGCGUUAAUAGCGCUAUCGAUUGACGUUACCCGCAGAAGAAGCACCGGCUAACUCCGUGCCAGCAGCCGCGGUAAUACGGAGGGUGCGAGCGUUAAUCGGAAUUACUGGGCGUAAAGCGUACGCAGGCGGUCUGUUAAGUCAGAUGUGAAAUCCCCGGGCUUAACCUGGGAACUGCAUUUGAAACUGGCAGGCUAGAGUCUCGUAGAGGGGGGUAGAAUUCCAGGUGUAGCGGUGAAAUGCGUAGAGAUCUGGAGGAAUACCGGUGGCGAAGGCGGCCCCCUGGACGAAGACUGACGCUCAGGUACGAAAGCGUGGGGAGCAAACAGGAUUAGAUACCCUGGUAGUCCACGCUGUAAACGAUGUCGAUUUGAAGGUUGUGGCCUUGAGCCGUGGCUUUCGGAGCUAACGCGUUAAAUCGACCGCCUGGGGAGUACGGCCGCAAGGUUAAAACUCAAAUGAAUUGACGGGGGCCCGCACAAGCGGUGGAGCAUGUGGUUUAAUUCGAUGCAACGCGAAGAACCUUACCUACUCUUGACAUCCAGAGAACAUGGCAGAGAUGCCUUGGUGCCUUCGGGAACUCUGAGACAGGUGCUGCAUGGCUGUCGUCAGCUCGUGUUGUGAAAUGUUGGGUUAAGUCCCGCAACGAGCGCAACCCUUAUCCUUUGUUGCCAGCGAUUCGGUCGGGAACUCAAAGGAGACUGCCGGUGAUAAACCGGAGGAAGGUGGGGAUGACGUCAAGUCAUCAUGGCCCUUACGAGUAGGGCUACACACGUGCUACAAUGGCGCAUACAAAGAGAAGCGAUCUCGCGAGAGUCAGCGGACCUCAUAAAGUGCGUCGUAGUCCGGAUUGGAGUCUGCAACUCGACUCCAUGAAGUCGGAAUCGCUAGUAAUCGUGGAUCAGAAU
rnacentral:rRNA from 1 species